rnacentral:rRNA from 1 species
AUUGAACGCUGGCGGCAGGCCUAACACAUGCAAGUCGAACGAGUGGCGGACGGGUGAGUAAUGUCUGGGAAACUGCCUGAUGGAAGGGGAUAACUACUGGAAACGGUAGCUAAUACCGCAUAGCAGCAGAGGGGCCCAGAUGGGAUUAGCUUGGUGGUGGGGUAACGGCGCACCAAGGCGACGAUCCCUAGCUGGUCUGAGAGGCUGACCAGCCACCCUGGAACUGGGACACGGUCCAGACUCCGACGGUAGGCAGCCGUGGGGAAUAUUGCACAAUGGGCGUAAGCCUGAUGCAGUCAUGCCGCGUGUAUGAAGAAGGCCUUCGGGUUGUAAAGUACUUUCAGCGGGGAGGCGUUACCCGCAGAAGAAGCACCGGCUAACUCCGUGCCAGCAGCCGCGGUAAUUC